CUCGUGACCACGAAGAAGGAAGCAUCGUGGAGUGUUCUUUUUCAACUUUUUCUUUUUUGGAGUUGAAAGUAUCUUCGCGACCAUGGCACCAAGGAAACCUUGUGCAGUGAUGUUCUGUCCCAGCGGACGCUAUGCCGACCGCGUGAAGUCAAGAGAAAUGUUCGGAUUGAAACAGACUUGUUUAUUCAAAGUUCCUGAUCUAAGUGUUUUUUAUACCAUUUUGUUAUACUAUUUUAAAAAGUUUUUAUUUACUGUUUACAUAGUGUGAAAUGUAUAGUAAAAAUCGGUUUUAUUUGCAAGCGAGCGGACUUGAGAAAGAAGUGGAGUUCUCUACUUUACACUGCCUUGUAUGACGACGAUGUAGUUUGCGAGCAUCAUAUAACUCGGCGAAUUGGCGGAAAAUUGCUGAACAUACCGAGUGGAAGAUAUAGACUUGCCAAAGAUGCUGUGCCAAUGGAAUCGGGUCGUAAAAAACCGGUCUGCAGCUCGGAUGAUAAACCUAUUUGUGCAGUUGGAUCGGAGGAUUGGAACGAUCAUCAAGUGAGUUUUUUUUCUUAAAUUAAAAAUUUUUCGUCGUUACAAUAAUUAAAUAAUUUUAUGUGUAUGCUUGAUAUAUAUUUUUCGUGUCGUACUGGCAAUGAGUGAAAAUUCGACUAUACCCGCCGUGGUCAAUUCUUGUCAAGCGGAACAAUCAAAUGUCGAUGUUCAAGACGGUUCAACUAUUGACGUUAUUCGAUCGAGCACGCCGUUACUUCCCGAUAUAACUGCGAUGAUGUCGGUGAUCAUUGCUUGUCAAUUUUAAAAGCAACUGUCUCUAAUAUAGCGGAUGACUAAAGGCUUGGAAGUGGAAAUUCCGUUGACCGAAUCUUGUGAAUCACUAGAAAGCAUGAGUAACGAUGAUACUGAAGAAAUAGACGUAACGGAUACUAGCGAGACAAUCAAAGACUACUGAAUCCAUUACCUCCAAGUUGGAGUUGGUAUCAAGAAAACGAUAAGAUAUUGUUCGCGCAAUUGAACGCGAAAAACGCGAAAUUCGCUGUUUUGUUGAGUAUCAUUUUAAUCUUCAUGCAAAGCUAAGUUUAUGAAAUUUUUAGAAUUUUUAAUAAAAAAAAUCAUGAAUUAUACCUCUAAAUUAAAUUUCGACAUCUAUUAUUUAAGGUUUUCACAGCUGAUAAUCGACAAAUUCAUGAAUUGUCCAGACGAGUCUCGACUAUUGCAGAUUUGAUUGAUCUGUUCAAGAAAAUCGAAGCAGUUGUAGUUUGCGAAGGAUCUUCUGGUGGAAAAAGCCGAUCUGACGAAUGCUUCGGAAUCGUUAAAUCGAAUAGCAAUAAUGCCAAAUAUGUGCAUCACACUUCGUGUUUGCCCUGCAGGAAGUUGAAAAAAGCUUCGUCUAUGAACAAAGGAGGUCGAAUAAAAAAAUUGCCGAGCAAGGAACAGAUGAACGAAAGACAGGAUAAACGUCUGGAAAAGAUUCUAACUCAUCACAUGUCAUUAGUUUUGGAUGACUAAUGGCUGCAUCUAAAUAAAAGUUUCGCAUCAAGUUAUAUGUUGAUUAUAAUCACACACAUCGUUUUUCUUGAUUUAUUUGGCAAUUAAAAAAAAAUGUAAUUUUUAAGUAAUAAAUAAAUAAAAUAUACGAAUAACAUAAA
rnacentral:lncRNA from 12 species